GUCUCGCCAUGCUGCUCCUGGGCCUGCUGCUGCUGCCCCUGCUGGCUGGCGCCCGCCUGCUGUGGAACUGGUGGAAGCUCCGGAGCCUCCACCUCCCGCCUCUUGCCCCGGGCUUCUUGCACUUGCUGCAGCCCGACCUCCCAAUCUAUCUGCUUGGCCUGACUCAGAAAUUCGGGCCCAUCUACAGGCUCCACCUUGGGCUGCAAGAUGUGGUGGUGCUGAACUCCAAGAGGACCAUUGAGGAAGCCAUGGUCAAAAAGUGGGCAGACUUUGCUGGCAGACCUGAGCCACUUACCUCCCCCACCUCCUCCUGCAGACAAGCUGGUGUCUAAGAACUACCCGGACCUGUCCUUGGGAGACUACUCCCUGCUCUGGAAAGCCCACAAGAAGCUCACCCGCUCAGCCCUGCUGCUGGGCAUCCGUGACUCCAUGGAGCCAGUGGUGGAGCAGCUGACCCAGGAGUUCUGUGAGCGCAUGAGAGCCCAGCCCGGCACCCCUGUGGCCAUUGAGGAGGAAUUCUCUCUCCUCACCUGCAGCAUCAUCUGUUACCUCACCUUCGGAGACAAGAUCAAGGACGAC
rnacentral:sRNA from 1 species